rnacentral:pre_miRNA from 1 species
AUCAGAAUCACUUUGGGGACUUGCUCAGAUACAGAUUGCUGGGUCCCAUGCCCAGAGUUGUUGAUUCAGUAGAUCUACUUGGGGCUAAAGAAUUUGUAUCCCUAACAAGUUCCCAGGUGAUGUUGGU